GUCUUAGAUUGUGAGAAAAAUAGUGAGAUAGAUAGAGAGCGAGACAGAGAGCUUCAGAGUGAGGGUGAUAUUAUACAUAACGAUCUAAGGAUAGAAAGAAAGAGGGAGCUUCAGAGAGUUGCAGGCAGAAAGAGAGAGUGCCAUAGGUUCAGGAAGAAGCACCAGGUCUUUUCUCUAAGUUGCAUCAGAGUGGAUUAGGUCAUGACAAGAGGCAAAGUUGAUUAUGAUGAAGGCAGGAGGCACAUGGAACAAGAUCAAGCAUGUGAAACGAGCUGGUGAAAAUUGGGCUGGUGUGGACUGCUUUAGAAAUAUGAUUAGAUCAAAAGUUGGGUAUGAAAGUGUGGCAUUAGUUAUUAUUCUAUCUGCAAUUGUAGGCACAAAUAAUUUGGAGGUGGGGAAACAAAUUCAUGGUGCUGCUUUGGGGGUUAAAGGUUUCAGCUAAUAAUAACGGUGAUUAUGAUUAGGAUUAGAUGAGUGAACAAUGAAAACAUUAUGCCAUCACAUAUUUUCCUUUCACUUUUAAGGUCAUUUUCUAUGCACCUUCAAUUAAGCUUCACUUGAAUUAUUGUUUACACUUUUAAUGUCAUUUUCUAUACACCUUCAAUUAAGCUUCAGUUUAUGGAAAGCGUAACAAUAACUUUACUAAAUGAAAGCGUGAUAGUAGUUAUUAUUCUAUCUGUGAUUUUUGAAAUAAAAUUUCCUUAUGCAGUUUGCUA